rnacentral:rRNA from 1 species
GACGAACGCUGGCGGCGUGCUUAACACAUGCAAGUCGAACGGAAAGGCCCUGCUUUUGUGGUGUGCUCGAGUGGCGAACGGGUGAGUAACACGUGAGUAACCUGCCCUUGACUUUGGGGUAACUUCAGGAAACUGGGGCUAAUACCGGAUAGGAGCUCCUGCUGCAUGGUGGGGGGUGGAAAUUUUCGGCGGUUGGGGAUGGACUCGCGGCUUAUCAGCUUGUUGGUGGGGUAGUGGCUUACCAAGGCUUUGACGGGUAGCCGGCCUGAGAGGGUGACCGGCCACAUGGGGACUGAGAGAGGGCGCAGACGGCUACGGGAGGCAGCAGGGGGGAAUAUUGCACAAUGGGCGGAAGCCGGAGGCAGCAACGCCGCGUGCGGGAUGACGGCCUUCGGGGUGUAAACCGCUUUAGCCUGUGACGAAGCGGGAGUGACGGUAAUGGGUAAAGAAGCACCGGCUAACUACGUG